rnacentral:rRNA from 1 species
ACAGCAGCAGCCGCGGGAAAACGUAGUGUGCGAGCGUUAAUCGGAAUUACUGCGCGUAAAGCGUGCGCAGGCGGUUAUAUAAGUCAGAUGUGUAAUCCCCGGGCUCAACCUGGGAACUGCAUUUGAGACUGUAUGGCUAGAGUGUGUCAGAGGGGGGUAGAAUUCCACGUGUAGCAGUGAAAUGCGUAGAUAUGUGGAGGAAUACCGAUGGCGAAGGCAGCCCCCUGGGAUAACACUGACGCUCAUGCACGAAAGCGUGGGGAGCAAACAGGAUUAGAUACCCCAGUAGUCCCUGUCUCUUAUAC